rnacentral:rRNA from 1 species
GUCUACGGCCAUGCUACCGUGAACAAACUGGAUCCCGUCUGAUCUUGGAAACUAAACAGGGUCGGGCCUGGUUAGUACUUGGAUGGGAGACCACCUAGGAAGACCAGAUGCUGUAGGAA